UUUCCAACAAAAAAAGAAUUAUCAAAAUCGUUACACCCAGUAACAAGCUAUACGGUAUUAUACAACGUAGACCGACGAAAAAAUAGUCAAGUAAAUACGCAUUAUUAAAUAUAGUUCGAAAGGUACUUGUUAGAACUCGAUUAAAUUUACAUGAGACCACAUAACAAGCACCACCUUUCGAU